rnacentral:rRNA from 1 species
UGGGGAAUCUUCGGCAAUGGACGCAAGUCUGACCGAGCAACGCCGCGUGAGUGAAGAAGGCCUCGGAUCGUAAAACUCUGUUGAUAGAGAAAAACAAGGACGUUAGUAACUGAACGUCCCCUGACGGUAUCUAACCAGAAAGCCACGGCUAACCACGUGCCAGCAGCCGCGGUAAUACGUAGGUGGCAAGCGUUGUCCGGAAUUAUUGGGCGUAAAGCGAGCGCAGGCGGUUUCUUAAGUCCGGUGUGAAAGCCCCCGGCUCAACCGGGGAAGGUCAUUGGAGACUGGGAGGCUUGAGUGCGGAAGAGGGGAGUGGAAUUCCAUGUGUAGCGGUGAAAUGCGUAGAUAUAUGGAGGAACACCAGUGGCGAAGGCGGCUCUCUGGUCUGUAACUGACGCUGAGGCUCGAAAGCGUGGGGAGCAAACAGG